GACGAACGCUGGCGGCGUGCUUAACACAUGCAAGUCGAACGAAGAGCGAUGGAAGCUUGCUUCUAUCAAUCUUAGUGGCGAACGGGUGAGUAACGCGUAAUCAACCUGCCCUUCAGUGGGGGACAACAGUUGGAAACGACUGCUAAUACCGCAUACGAUCUAAUCUCGGCAUCGAGGAUAGAUGAAAGGUGGCCUCUACAUGUAAGCUAUCACUGAAGGAGGGGAUUGCGUCUGAUUAGCUAGUUGGAGGGGUAACGGCCCACCAAGGCGAUGAUCAGUAGCCGGUCUGAGAGGAUGAACGGCCACAUUGGGACUGAGACACGGCCCAGACUCCUACGGGAGGCAGCAGUGGGGAAUCUUCCGCAAUGGACGAAAGUCUGACGGAGCAACGCCGCGUGAGUGAUGACGGCCUUCGGGUUGUAAAGCUCUGUUAAUCGGGACGAAAGGCCUUCUUGCGAAUAGUGAGAAGGAUCGACG
rnacentral:rRNA from 1 species